UACGGGGGGGGUAAGCGUUGUUCGGAAUUACUGGGCGUAAAGAGCUCGUAGGCGGUCUGUCGCGUCGGAUGUGAAAGCCCGGGGCUUAACCCCGGGUCUGCAUUCGAUACGGGCAGACUAGAGUGUGGUAGGGGAGAUCGGAAUUCCUGGUGUAGCGGUGAAAUGCGCAGAUAUCAGGAGGAACACCGGUGGCGAAGGCGGAUCUCUGGGCCAUUACUGACGCUGAGGAGCGAAAGCGUGGGGAGCGAACAGG
rnacentral:rRNA from 1 species